UAGGGAAUCUUCGGCAAUGGACGAAAGUCUGACCGAGCAACGCCGCGUGAGUGAAGAAGGUUUUCGGAUCGUAAAACUCUGUUGUUAGAGAAGAACAAGGACGUUAGUAACUGAACGUCCCCUGACGGUAUCUAACCAGAAAGCCACGGCUAACUACGUGCCAGCAGCCGCGGUAAUACGUAGGUGGCAAGCGUUGUCCGGAUUUAUUGGGCGUAAAGCGAGCGCAGGCGGUUUCUUAAGUCUGAUGUGAAAGCCCCCGGCUCAACCGGGGAGGGUCAUUGGAAACUAGGAGACUUGAGUGCAGAAGAGGAGAGUGGAAUUCCAUGUGUAGCGAUGAAAUGCGUAGAUAUAUGGAGGAACACCAGUGGCGAAGGCGGCUCUCUGGUCUGUGACUGACGCUGAGGCUCGAAAGCGUGGGGAGCAAACAGG
rnacentral:rRNA from 1 species